UGCCAAAGCCCACAUAAUCCAGCCCAAUCGCCUACUCAUACUAGGGCACCAAAUAAGAAGUUGGAAACCUUCUUCUCGAGCCCCGAAUUUGAAGCGGCCCCACAAUUAAAAAGUCAAAAGAUUGGUAUUAUUACAACACAACUAAUGCAAAUCGAAGAUGAAAAAUCAAACCUCAACUUUCUCUCUCUACCCCCUCUCUUCUCUCUCUUCUCUCUCUCUCUAUCUCUGCAAAAAGCAAAGCUAUCUGCAAAAAGCAAAGGCAUUAGAUCUGUACUAACCUUCAUCUUCUGUUGCAAAUCUACACAAAGGUUUUUGGUGAGAAUGAAGCCGUGACCGAAUCGAGAGCUUCUGAAUAUACCAACAAUUUAAUAAGGGGAAGAAAGGCCAAAGCAGUUAAAGAACAAGACGAAGCUGAGUAUGAAGCGGCUAUGGCACGUAUCCAAAGAGAACUGGAUAAUGCCCACGCCAACGCUGAAGGAAUGUGAAGGAAUGUGAGAUACAGAUUUGGGAUACGAAAAAAACGUGCGGUUUUAAUUUUCAUGCUUUUGCGUAGACAGCGAUUUUGGAGUUUGUUUGCGCUAAAAAUAAAUCACAUCUAUAUGUUUACUCUGUGAUACACAAGUAAUUCUGCAUAAUUAUGCAUUCGAGUGUAUCACAGAGUGUGAUUCUGCAUUCGAGUGUAUCACAUAGUAUAUCACAAGACUUUUAUUUUUAGCGCAAACAAACUCCAAAAUUGCUGUCUACGCAAAAGCAUGAAAAUUAAAACCGCACGUUUUUUUCGUAUCACAAACCUGUAUCUCACAUUCCUUCACAUUCCUUCAGAGUUGGCGUGGGCAUUAUCCAGUUCUCUUUGGAUACGUGCCAUAGCCGCUUCGUACUCAGCUUCGUCUUGUUCUUUAACUGCUUUGGCCUUUCUUCCCCUUAUUAAAUUGUUGGUAUAUUUAGCCUUCUCCUCCAUAAUUUUUUCCCUCGCUAUCCUCUCGGUUUCAAGCCUUUGUUCACGCUUCACUGCAAUUGUUAGCUCCGAAGUUUUGUUCCUCCCCAUUUUUUUCUAUUUUUUGUACGCAAACAGAUUAGGCAAAUGUAAAAAUUAAAGAAAUAGACUUGGUAUAAAUUUUUGCUUAAUAAGAAUCAUUUAGUCAACGAGAACGAUUCAAGAAUUCCCGUAAUCAAUGAUCCUUAUUGCCCGUUUUUAA